rnacentral:misc_RNA from 1 species
GAUGAAGAACGCAGCGAAAUGCGAUAAGUAAUGUGAAUUGCAGAAUUCAGUGAAUCAUCGAAUCUUUGAACGCACAUUGCGCCCGCCAGUAUUCUGGCGAGCAUGCCUGUUCGAGCGUCAUUUCAACCAUCAAGCCCCAGGCUUGUGUUGGAGCCCUGCGGCUGCCGCAGCCUCCCAAAACCAGUGGCGGGCUCGCUAUCACACCGAGUGCAGUAGUUUACUCUUCGCUCAGGGCGUGUGGCGGGUGCUAGCCGUGAAACCCCCAACUUCUCAAGGUUGACCUCGGAUCAGGUAGGAAUACCCGCUGAACUUAAGCAUAUAAUAAGCGGAGGA